GGCGGCGUAGCCAAGUGGCUAAGGCAGCGGUCUGCAAAACCGUUAUUCCCCAGUUCAAAUCUGGGCGCCGCCUCCA
rnacentral:tRNA from 1 species